GAUGAACGCUAGCGGCAGGCCUACCACAUGCAAGUCGAGGGGUAACUAGAGUGAUAGCAAUAUUACUUUGGCUAGACCGGCGCACGGGUGCGUAACACGUAUGCAACCUACCUUAUACUGGGGAAUAACUUCGAGAAAUCGGCGCUAAUACCCCAUAACAUUGCGAAGAGGCAUCUCUUUGCAAUUAAAGCUCCGGCGGUAUAAGAUGGGCAUGCGUCCAAUUAGCUAGUUGGUGAGGUAACGGCUCACCAAGGCUACGAUUGGUAGGGGUUCUGAGAGGAUGAUCCCCCACACUGGUACUGAGACACGGACCAGACUCCUACGGGAGGCAGCAGUGAGGAAUAUUGCGCAAUGGGCGAAAGUCUGACGCAGCCAUGCCGCGUGCAGGAUGACGACCCUAUGGGUUGUAAACUGCUUUUGUACGGGAAUAAACCCUUCUACGUGUAGGAGGCUGAAGGUACCGUAAGAAUAAGCACCGGCUAACUCCGUGCCAGCCGCCGCGGUAAUAC
rnacentral:rRNA from 1 species